rnacentral:snoRNA from 1 species
CCCCAGGGCUAUCGUCAGGACACUCCCGCAUCUCUAUGCUUGAUGGAAGAACGUCCGUUACAUCCCUGGGAGAAUGAUUCCAUUUCCAACGUCCUUGGUCUGGUCUUCAGAUCAGGGAUUGAUAGGCUCCGUUUUGGAGUCCUAUCGCCGGAUACCGGACGUGUUUCAGACGAGUUGAAGGCUGCCACUCUCCGUCUUGGAUAGCAAAUGGCCGUCUUCUUAGUGAUGAUUCACACAUUU